GGAUGUGAGGACAAUCUGGCUGCAACAUCUGUCACCCCACUUGAUUCGGCUGAUCUGGCUGGCUAGGCGGGUGUCCCCUUCCUCCCUCACCGCUCCAUGUGCAUCCCUCCCUAAGCUGCGUGCUCGGUCAAAGAGGAUGGCCUUCCCCACUAGAGGAGGACCAGUCUUCGUUCAAGGGUAUACGAGUAACUAUGCUCCCCUACUAGAACCUCCAAAUAAACUCUCAAGAAGCUCUUUGUGCCUCUGUUGCCUCAUGUGUAAAAUGAGGGUAGUAAUUACAUCUACUUCACAGGGAAUUUACAAGGAUAUGUUAAUCCUAUGGUU
rnacentral:snRNA from 1 species